UACGUAGGAUGCAAGCGUUGUCCGGAUUUACUGGGCGUAAAGCGUGCGCAGGCGGUUCGUUAAGUCAGCUGUGAAAGCCCCGGGCUCAACCUGGGAAUUGCGGUUGAAACUGGCGAACUAGAAUCUGGCAGAGGGGGGUGGAAUUCCACGUGUAGCAGUGAAAUGCGUAGAGAUGUGGAGGAACACCGAUGGCGAAGGCAGCCCCCUGGGCUGAGAUUGACGCUCAGGCACGAAAGCGUGGGGAGCAAACAGG
rnacentral:rRNA from 1 species